AUUGAACGCUGGCGGCAUGCUUUACACAUGCAAGUCGAACGGUAACAGGCCUUCGGGUGCUGACGAGUGGCGAACGGGUGAGUAAUGCAUCGGAACGUGCCCAAUCGUGGGGGAUAACGUAGCGAAAGUUACGCUAAUACCGCAUAAGCCCUGAGGGGGAAAGUGGGGGACCGCAAGGCCUCACGCGAAUGGAGCGGCCGAUGUCAGAUUAGCUAGUUGGUGGGGUAAAGGCUCACCAAGGCGACGAUCUGUAGCGGGUCUGAGAGGAUGAUCCGCCACACUGGGACUGAGACACGGCCCAGACUCCUACGGGAGGCAGCAGUGGGGAAUUUUGGACAAUGGGCGCAAGCCUGAUCCAGCCAUGCCGCGUGCGGGACGAAGGCCUUCGGUUGUAAACCGCGUUUCCAGCCGGAAAGAAAUACGCUGUUUUAAUUACUAGACAGUGAUGACGGUACCGGAAGAAGAAGCACCGGCUAACUACGUAGCCAGC
rnacentral:rRNA from 1 species